rnacentral:lncRNA from 1 species
GAACUCUGACACGUCGUUCUCAGCAGCUGAAGCCAUGUGCUGUGACUAUCUUUGGAGCCUCCCCAGCCCUGUUUAGUGCACAGCUGAACUGUAACUGUUGCAAACAUCUGGAGUGGAUGAGAUGGGAAAGGAGACCCGCAGUGAUUGUGGAUUCUGGGGAAGAUGGACCAGUGGUGGUGUGGUAGAUAGGUUGGGCUAUCAGGAGCAUCUUGUAAAUAAGAAAGGAAUAGAAGAAGAUAAAACAGAUAAAUUGCCAUGAGAACUACGGCUCAAUAUUUUGCUCCGGCCAAGAAUUCCACAACUGGUUCCAGGAAGCCUCCUUCUUUUGAAGCUUUAGCCUCAGUUUGUGGAACUUGUCACACAGAUUCUACUGGGGUUGGUGUGGCAACAAUGAAUCUUUUCAAAAUACAGCAAGAGGACACUGAUGAAGACUGUUGCAGGUCUAACUCUUCAGCCUGGCUUCAGAGGAGGGAUGGAGGUAUCUUAGCUGUAUCCCAACCCUGGUGUCCUUUCCCUUUUAGGCUUUUAGGGGGUGUGGUAGUUUGAAUAAGCUUGGCCCAGGGAGUGGCUCAAUUAGAAGGUCUGGCCUUGUUGGAGUGGGUGUGGCCUUGCUGGAGUGGGUGUGGCCUUGCUGGAGUGGGUGUGUCAUUGUGGGUAUGGGCUUUAGGACCCUCCUCCUAGCUGCUUGGGAGCCAGUCUUCUAGAGUCCUUUAGAGGAAGAUGUAGACCUCACAGCUUGUGCAGCACCAUGCCUGCCUAGAGGCUGCCAUGCUCCCUCCUUGAUGAUAAUAAAUUGAACCUCUGAACCUGUAAGCCAGCCCCAAUUAAAUGUUGUCUUUAUUAGA